AGGACACAAAACAAAUGUUUUAGAGUCUUUUGCUGCUAUACUUUUCUGCAGAGUCCUAGGACCCUGCUUGGUACUCAUACUGCCAGAAUAUAUUCAGUGGCCUGAAACUCUACUUGACCUCCUAGUAUGUGGACUGCAAGAAGCAAACCCAGUGCUCACAGAUCUUGCUCUGCCAAGGCUCUGUCAAGUCUUGGUUCUGGUUGUGUGACCUUGGAUUUGCCUUAUUGGAGCCUGAAUUUUCCCUGGCACAAAGGACAUAUGAGACAGGAGAGCGACAUGAAUUCAGAUGUGAUUUGAGAGGUAAAAUUUAGCUGUGAAAUUCUUGGCCUGGGGG
rnacentral:lncRNA from 1 species